rnacentral:rRNA from 1 species
UAGGGAAUCUUCCACAAUGGACGCAAGUCUGAUGGAGCAACGCCGCGGGAGUGAAGAAGGUUUUCGGAUCGUAAAGCUCUGUUGUUGGUGAAGAAGGAUAGAGGCAGUAACUGGUCUUUAUUUGACGGUAAUCAACCAGAAAGUCACGGCUAACUACGUGCCAGCAGCCGCGGUAAUACGUAGGUGGCAAGCGUUGUCCGGAUUUAUUGGGCGUAAAGCGAGCGCAGGCGGAAUGAUAAGUCUGAUGUGAAAGCCCACGGCUCAACCGUGGAACUGCAUCGGAAACUGUCAUUCUUGAGUGCAGAAGAGGAGAGUGGAAUUCCAUGUGUAGCGGUGGAAUGCGUAGAUAUAUGGAAGAACACCAGUGGCGAAGGCGGCUCUCUGGUCUGCAACUGACGCUGAGGCUCGAAAGCAUGGGUAGCGAACAGG